rnacentral:lncRNA from 1 species
UUUUUAUUUUUAUUUUUUUGCCAUUUGUAUAAAUAGCGCAAUUUUUACUUGAUUGAUAUUCUUUCCUUUAAUAAUUGGAUAAACACGAAUAAAAACGAAAAUGUUGGGAAGCUGCAAUAUUAUAUGCUUUUUUUAUUAUUAUUAUUUUUUCUUCUUUUUUGUUCAUUAUAUAAAUUGAUCGUUGGGAUGUACAGGGCAAGAGGAGACUGUAAGUUUUUAAACAUUCAGUAACUUGGACAUUUUUGGAUCGCUUAUGAGUAGUUCGCAGCGCACGUUGGCCCCGCUACGACUCAGAAAAUGACUAAUUUUCGGUUAGGGUUUCUAGUAGAAUACGGAGAUGCUCGAUGGUUUGACAGGAUCCAAUGGCACUUGCAAGGCCGUGCAAGGGCUCUCGGGGGGUUCUCUCUCUCUUGUUGUUUGGUCGUUGACCACGUGCAGACAUCCGUUGUCAUGGGCAACCGUGCUUCCCGGCGCUGAUUUAGAGUGAUUGAUGUCGUCUGGCACCUGAACGUCACAAUGGCGCCUGCCGGCUCUCUACCUUUACUUCAAACAAUGGAACAUAAAUGGAUGAAAUGCGGUUCGCUUUAUGGAUUAUUUGGUUGCUAAAUUGCUCGAUAAUUAUUAUGAAAAACCCGCCUUACAAAGAAACCCCUUCCUGCUUGCGUUUUGUUUUGUUUUCGUUUUUUUUACUCUGGAAUUCUUUGUUUUUAAAUUGCGUCGUGGGCUUCGAGUUCUCCCCAAAAUAAACAGCGUGUGCGUAAAUACAAAUAACACGUCUCCAGUUCUUAAAAAUGCCAAAUAAACAAUUAGAAAGUCAAGUAAGAGGGAAAAAAACCCAUACACGUUAAUAGAUUUUUAUACCAAUAUUGGAUCACUCGGCGAGUAAAGUUUGCACAACACAUUUUUUACGCAAGUAAAAGUCUUAAAUUACUUCCUCAUUUGUCCUAGGAUAAGUUGUCAUUUUAUCACCGAAACUUUUAAGGGAUUUUUUUCUUUUUUUUUUUUUUUACUUCUUUU